rnacentral:rRNA from 1 species
GGGCCCGCACAAGCGGUGGAGCAUGUGGUUUAAUUCGAUGCAACGCGAAAAACCUUACCACCCCUUGACAUCCUGCGAAGUUACCAGAGAUGGUUUCGUGCCUUCGGGAGCGCAGAGACAGGUGCUGCAUGGCUGUCGUCAGCUCGUGUUGUGAAAUGUUGGGUUAAGUCCCGUAACGAGCGCAACCCUUGUCCUUAGUUGCUAACAUUUAGUUGAGAACUCUAAGGAGACUGCCGGUGACAAACCGGAGGAAGGUGGGGACGACGUCAAGUCAUCAUGGCCCUUACGGGGUGGGCUACACACGUGCUACAAUGGGGAGUACAGAGGGUUGCCAAGCCGCGAGGUGGAGCUAAUCCCUUAAAACUUCUCGUAGUCCGGAUUGGAGUCUGCAACUCGACUCCAUGAAGUCGGAAUCGCUAGUAAUCG